AUUAAAAUUAAUAAAACAGUACGCACAGCCUAACGUAUUGUUUUGAAUGCGAUGCUCGCUGCUUUAUCUGAUUUAUGAACUUUUCCAAUUUUGUUAGGUUA
rnacentral:sRNA from 1 species